rnacentral:rRNA from 1 species
GACAGAGGGUGCAAACGUUGUUCGGAUUUACUGGGCGUAAAGCGUGUGUAGGCGGCUUUGUAUGUCGGAUGUGAAAGCCCACGGCUCAACCGUGGAAGUGCAUCCGAAACUGCAUAGCUUGAGUCCCGGAGAGGAAGGUGGAAUGCUUGGUGUAGAGGUGAAAUUCGUAGAUAUCAAGCAGAACACCUGCGGCGAAGGCGGCCUUCUGGACGGUGACUGACACUGAGGUGCGAAAGCGUGGGGAAGCAAACAGG